CCUGCUCUCUGCGCACCUCUAGCGUUCCUGUAUAUGCUCCCGUGAGCAGAGUUGCGCAUAACUUUUCCGGCGCCGCUCGCACCGCUAUUCGCCGAGUGCGAUCACGUGGUGCAAAAUGACGUCAAAUGAUCAACUGCGCGAUCCAAAGCCGACUUUACGGAAACGGCGCCUACUCGUUUCUGUCAGUGCCAUCGAAAUUGCAAUCAGCAGACCGUCGAGCGUGCGUAGAAAUGAUCGGCUCCGGGUUGCAGGUAUGGUAUUCGAGGAUAUUAAGUUAAUGACUUUGGUGAAGUUCUACGAAGCAGGUCAUUUUGACACUUGUAUUCCAGUAUGACGAGUUGCAGCGCACCAAAUCGCGCAAAUCGCACGGAAGGUGGCGAAGCUUUUUACGCGGUGCCGUGCGGGCGGACGAGACCGGCCGGCUCCGGAAGGGACCAGGAUAUGCGAGAUCCGUUUGCCUUGUUUACAGAGUGGCUUUGAAUUCUGCCCCCAAGGCUCCAAGAACCAGCACUCAUCCCCUGCUGCCACCAGCCAUUGCUUAUCCAUUUCCUUGUAUGAAAUAAAUUUGAUCUAGAAGCUCGUG
rnacentral:lncRNA from 1 species